AGACAUUGGCAGGGAGCUGGUAUUCAACCUAAGGCAAUUCUCUGGAGAAGGGGCAGCAAUAUGAGCUGUCAGCAACCAACUCUUGUACGCAUGCGUGGUGAACGGAAUCUGGGUGGAGCAUCCCAGCAUCUACUACAGGCCACUCCAGUCCUCUCCUGAAUAGGCUAAAGAUAGAAGUUGAUCUCAACUAUAAGCAACUCUGGGCUACUUAAAAGGGCCUGUUUUUGUGGCAGAGGAGCAACAGCAGAGCAGCUGAGAGCAGGUGUGCCUGGAUCCUGGCUCUGCCACUACCUGGCAGUGUGAUCUCUGAGAUGCUGCCAUGCUAUGUUGCCCAGACCAGACUCAAGAGAUCCUCCUGCCUUAGGCCCCCAAAGUGUUGGCAUUACAGGUACAAGCUGCCACAUCUGGCCAAUCUUUCCCAAAUUCUAAUGCACACCCACCCCCAAAACACCCAAAUCCAAAAAAGAGCGGCGAUGGGAACUGCUUCGUUGUGCCAGAGGAGGGCUCCUGUUGUGUAAUCACUUUAACAAGACAAACGAACAAUUAUUCCAAACAAUUAUUCCCACUUCAGCUACACUCCUUAAAUUUAUCUGCAGCAACUUCCGAUUUGAAACACUGAAAACACAAACACAAGAACACUUCAAGUACGGGGAACCCAGGGUAAUGUAGCAGCUUUGCCUGGCUUGGCACUAAUAUAGAUGUAAACAUUUAGAAAGUAUUUACUGUCCACUGACCCAGUAGCUGGCCCCUUGGGCCCUCAGAUGCCUGCUCAGACAUCCUGGGUGCCAGAGAAGAAGCACCUUCCAGUUGUAUGAUCAGAAAACUGAGCCCACGGGCCACUUUAGCUUCUCCCCCACUCACAUCCCAGCACAGCUGCCCUUUCCUCCCACAAGACAGAGCCCAGCUAGUCUCCAUGGGGUGGGCAGAUUCAGCAAGCACCUGCCUGCCCAGCACUUGAGACAGAAGCUCACCUGCUAAAGGAUCAGGGGAGGGUCUGAACACCAGGAGAGGGCAGUAAGAGGUUCUGGCCCAAAGAUCUCAGAGCUGCAAGUGACACUUCACAUCUAAGUGACUCUGGUCUUUUGGCAGACAUGAAAAGGGAGCUUUAUGCUCCAAUGGAGAUUUUUUUCCCCUUACCCACAAGGUAUUCUGAGGGAGGGGGGAGUUUUUAAAAGAUUCUUUGGCGCGAGGAAGAGAAGAAAACACAGGAAGGGCAGGGCGCAGUGGCACACGCCUGUAAUCCUAACACUUUAGGAGGCCAGGAGCUUGAUAAUAGCUUGGGCAAUAGCAAGACCUUGUCUCUACUAAAAAUUAAAAAAAAAAAAAUUAGUUGGGUAUGGUGGCACAUGCCUGUAGUCCCAGCUACUCAGAAGGCUGAGGCAGGAAGACUACUUGACUUCAACAACUGGGCGCUCUUGUGAGCUAUGAUGAUGCCACUCGCCCAGGCAAAAAAGUAAAAGUCUGUCUCAAAAAAGAGAGGAGAGAAGAGAAUAGACAAAACGUAGAGCUCUUCAUGCAGCAGCUGGGAUGGCGAGCUGGGCAGGAGUCCUGGCCCCCACUGCAGGACAAAGGCUUGAGGGCACUGUCAGCCGGGAGGGCCAGGCUCUUCCUGCUAAACAGAGGCUGGAGUUUCUUGGCCCCUUUGUGCAACCGCCUCAGGGUCAAAGAAGUAAAUGAUUUUCAUGCCUCAGCUCUGGCUCUGUCUCUAAGGUGCCAGACCCAAACCCGAGGGGCACGGGUAGGGGGAAUGAAAGACACGGGGGGAAAUCAGCAAGAAAUGCUUUCUCUGGAGCCCUCUGCAGAAGCCCAGGGGCUGCCUGACCAUCCCGAAGGCUCCUAAAUUGGAAUUCUGCCUAUUGUCACCCUUCACUUGGUCCAGAAGUAUCUCCGUCUAGCAGUAGCACUUCUGUCCUAUGGACAUUUAACUAUGCUAUGUUUUUUCUAUGCCCACCUCCCCUCUCAGAGGGGAGCAAACAUUUACUUCUCUUUGACGUGACAAGGUAGUCAGUGCCAUGAUAUGCUCAGCUGGGCACUGAAGUGAGAACAGGCAACAGAAAGCUGAAGGGCCUGGGUGAGGGCAGCCCUCCAAACACCCAUCCCCAUGCCCCCCAGCUGGCCAGGGAGCCCACCGUGCCGUGCUCAGAGUUCUCUAGGAGCUGAAUCAAAACAUGGAACUUAAGAUCAGACACCCCAGAGACAAACUUGGCCAACUCAGACCAUUUCCAAGGCCAGUAAGAUGUGCCACUUGGCGCCCCCCCCCGAUAUGGGCUAUAGGGGCACAGCACACUGCAGGGGCUUGGUUGACUACAGGCCUGGGGGUGGCAGUCAGCUUUAGGGCAGAGCACUUCACUUAAAAUUGAGAAAAAGCUUGAUCGUCCAUACUAAAGACAGACCACAGGGUUGGGGGUGGGUGGGGUGUAUAAGGAGGUGUUGGGUCAGUAGGUAUGUGCCUCAGAGCUCUAGGCUGCACUGCUGACUGGCACAGGCAAACAGCCUAAGGAGCUCUCCUGUCAACAACUAUCUUGGAUGAGAUGUUCUCACAGACUCCUCUCAGGGACAGAAGCGGGGGUCUCUGAGGCACCCAGUCUCAGCACCUCACCAGGGUCAGGAGGGUCCAUCAUGCAGCCACUAAGGCACCCUCACCACUCCCAGGGUUCUCUUCUGAUUAACAGCUGGCCUCUGCACCAGACCUCAUAGGCGGCUGGGCUUUCUCCUGGCUUCCAGCCCAACCCAAUUCUAGGGUGUGACCUGUCGAUCUGUAAUAGAAACUUAUCUCCUGCCAGUAGCUACCCACAGUUAGGCUGGCUACUAACGGCUCUGGGUGAGUCAAAGGACACCAUCUUGGUGAUGGAAAAAAACCCUGACAACUUGCAGAGAAAAGAGAAAGCCAGGCCUCAGGGUAGAGGGUGAAGGUCUUCAGGAAUCAUAACACCCAGUAUGAUUUUAUUUGUUUCUAUGACUAGAGGUGCUGGUGACCUGAGAAGCACUGACUUUGGCAAUGGAAGGACUACUGGACGCAGUGUCAGAAGCCCAAUUUGUAGCAGGACUCUGCACAUCCCACUGAGAUUGAAAAAAGGAAGAAACCAUACCACCUGCAGAGUUUCAUGCGUAUUACCAAAGAGAAAGUAUGUUGAAACACUGCUUAAUGAUUUUUGAGUUGAAAUGGAAACUUGACAUGGGAGCGCAAUUUUCCUUCUGCUGAUAAUUAAGAAAAUGAGUAAAAAACAUCUAUACAUAUAGAGUAAAAAAAGCAAGCCUCCCCCUCAAAAAAAUUAACAACUAAGCAAGGAAGUGGGCACAACCAGAUAUGUUAACCUCAAACACAAAGGCAAGGCAAGAAAAGAAGCCCCCCCCCCGACCCCCUGUGGCUCAGCCAUGUUCCUGGCCCACCCACAAUUAAUGCAGAUGCACCAAUGGACAAGAGCAGAACUGGGAGAAUUCUCACCAAGGUCCCCAAAUCUGGGGAGAGGCAAACUGCCACCAGUACACUUCACUGUCAAUUGAGAAGUAGUGGGCAAAACUACCUGGAAGGAGCAGAGAAAGAUACACCGGUACAUGAAUCAUGAGCUGACUCUGAAGGAAGAAAGGCCUCAGGGCCACACGCAAGGAAACUGUCCAACUCCAAAGUCCAGGGACUAUUCCUCCCCCUCCAACAGAAAUGGAACACACCUCCAAAUAAGUGGGCUGAGCACACUGCAGGCACCAUUAACUAACUUGUGCACCGAGGACAGGUCCCUCUCCCCAUUCACCUCUUCCUUUAGGCUACAAGGCACAGACCACCAGUGCCCUGCCCUUAGCACUCCUGGUGUUGAUGUGGGGAGGACACAUCAGCCUCGACCUGGGGAGAGGAAAGCUACGCUCUUACUUUAGAGCCAAGAGAACAUCUGCGUAGAACAGCACGCGCACGAACAAGGUGAGAAGACAAACCAAGGCGAACCAAGCAAAAGACAAAGAUGUCAACCUAAAGCAAACCACAACUCCAGAGAAAGUAAGUCCCCAUACGGCUUCACACCUAGAAAUGACUUAAUCAGAACAGGAAUUUGAUGAAACAAAAGCUCAAAGAUGAGAUUAUAAAACAAAAUGAGAUAAAAAGAGAGGAAGGCUUACAUCAAGAGGAAGAAAACAUUGAAAACUAAUAAAUAAAAUACAAUGGAUAGAGAACAAUACUUUGCCAGUCAUUUAAAAUAGAGAUACUAGACGGCGCCAUGGCUCAGUGAGUAGGGCGCUGGCCCCAUAUAUCAAGGGUGGUGGGUUCAAACCCGGCCCCGGCCAAACUGCAACAAAAAAAUAGCCAGGUGUUGUGGCGGGCGCCUGUAGUCCCAGCUACUCGGGAGGCUGAGGCAAGAGAAUCGCCUAAGCCCAAGAGCUGGAGGUUGCUGUGAGCUGUGAUGCCACAGCACUCUACUGAGGGUGACAAAGUGAGACUCUGUCUCAAAAAAUAAUAAUAAUAAUAAAAGUUUUUUUAAAAAAGAAGACUAAUGAUUAAGCAUUAAAACUCUUUAAGAAAUAAUAAAAAAAGUAAUUAUGGGAUUAGACAGAGGACACAAUGUGAAUGUUAUAAAAAAUGGACAAUUUAGGCUGGGUAUGGUGGCUCAUGCCUAUAAUCCUAGCACUCCGGGGGCUGAGGCCUGUGGAUCACUUGAGCUCAGGAGUUCAAGGCUAGCCAGAGUAAAAAAAAGACUUAUCUCUACCAAAACAGAAAAUCUAGCCGGGUAUGGUGGCGAACGCCUGGAGUCCCAGCUACUCAGGAGGCUGAGGCAAGAGUCUGAGGUUGCUGUAAGCUAUGAUACCGCGGCACUCUACCCAGGGUGACAGAGUAAGACGCUGUCUCAAAAAAAAAGGAAAGAAAGAAAAAGAAAAAGAAAAGACAGCUUAAUAAUAUGUAAUUAAUACCAUCAGCACAGGAGGGGAAAGGAGAUCAGGAAAAAAAGGUGAAAAUUCUAAUGUCCUCAUUUUUUAUAGCAAAGAGUCAACAGAUACUGUCUCAAAUGGAAACAAGUAAUUACAAAUAUGAGUCACAACUAUUUUCUUUACUGGGGUCUCUUGGGAAAUUAUCUGUUAUGAAAAACAUGCUUCCUUUAACGCUUACUAAUUAAUUUUCCCGCGGUUUAUUUUUCUUCUGUUACGUUCAGGAGAACAUUCAUACCUUCUUAUUUUUACAUCCAUUUCUCUGUAUCUGUUUAUCUGCAAGCAAGGCUGGAAGAACACCUGGGAUAACGUUCACCUGGAAUUAGUGACAGCCCUUUCUGAGUAGUGGCCUUUGGAGUCUUUGGGGUUGUUUGUUUUAACAUCAACCUAUUUAUGCGUCCCAAUCAGUAUACCCCAGACAGGGGUAUAAGAAAAUGUGGGUGAUUAUUUUUAUAAUCGAGGAGUAAGUGUGGCACAAAACCAAAGAAGCAAGAUUGGUUUGGCCCACAGAAGGAAGUACAAAAGCUGCCGCAUUAGCGUUCUGCAAGUACUUAAUUGGUAUACUCUCAAUAUUUUGGGUCAAACUAACAACGAUAGUCAUCUGUUUAAGUCUCAGCAUAAGCAGUUAGAAAACCAGUAGUCUCAGCUUGGAGGCUUCUCUGAGGUUCAAAGAGCUUUAAGAAAAAUCACCCGACCUGUGGCCCUCCUCCACUCACCAAAUGAACAUUGUCCAUGAGGCCACUCUUCCCUAGGGCAAGCCAUCCUAAGCUAGACAUGUCACCCCAGAAAAGAGCAAAUGUUACAGCUGGGAAACCAAUUCCUGCUCGGCCUUUUGGCCCACUGCUCUGGUUCCUCACGCCCUCCCAUCUAACUACUCUCCUCCAUUCCCUAAAAGGAUGUGUUCUCACUCCCGGCUCCACUCUCAGGACCUCAGCCUCAAGUUUUGGCACAGCCAAAGACCACCCAAGCUGGAAGAUUUCUCCAGUCAGUACAGGAGGCCAGCAGAGCCCAGUCUCUGCCCAUGAAACCUCACGCUGCUGGGAGGGCCAGGAUGGGAAAACUUAGGAAAAACAAAAAUCUGUGAUGACCCAGAAGCAGGGAACAAAAUUAAAACCAGCAGUCUGCUGCUCACGAACCAGUAUUUACUGAGCCCCUGUUGUGUGUGUGUGUGUGUGUGUGUCAGCAUCUGUGGGAGGAGGUGAGGAGGGCAGAGACUGUGGUGAGAGCCCAGGGCAGCCAGCAGACAGGCAGAAUAGCUUAUUUAGCCCCUUGCUGUGAGUGUAAUGACAGCCAAGCCCAGGAGCCAGGGCCAGAAGGAGGAGGGAGGGAGCCUAUUUGCCAGGCUCCCCAGCUGCAGCCCUGCCAAGCUAAGCCUGAGCUUGACUAAGCAGAAAGUGCUCCCAAAAUGGACUGAGUCAGGCAGGCGAAAACAGGAGAGCUGGAAAGGGCCCCAGAGCCAGCCAGGGCCCCCCUUUCCGGGACUCUUCCCAACCACAGGCCAGGGGCAAAGUCACCUCUAUUCUCAUCAUUUGCCAUCAACAUUUCCCAGACUCAAUUGCAAAAUGUUGACCUGUGGUCCAAGUGCACUCCUGUUUGUCAGACCACGGGGGCCCGGCAUGUGGCUUAGGAAACAUGGUACUCACAACCUACCACUUACGUCACCCACUUGAGCAAAACUCCCUGCCUUGUCAUUCACAGUCAAAUAAAUAAAUAAAAAGCACGAUGUAGUGGCUAAAUCAUCAGACAGCAUGACACGGCAAACAGACCUGAGUUCAACUGGGGUCUGCCACUAACUUCCCCUGUGUGCCCAGCACAAUUAAACCGUGAUCCCACCAAGCUCACAGGAGCACUCUGAUAAAUAAGACAGAGCUUAAAGGACACAUACAGCACAGCACAGCACAGCACUUGAGGUCAGCUGCUCCCUAGAUCCCAGUCUUCCAAGUUCUCAGGUCAAUACCCUCACGCGGCCAAGGAUUCUGCUUACCCUCAGGUCAGCGCAAUUACCUCCUCUUCCAGGAAGCCUUCUUAGACCACUCUUUCAGCACUUUUCUCCAACUGUUUUGGACGCCUAAUUAACCACCUAGUCUCCCAGGGAGCCUCCCCAUAUAGAUUUUCAUGGCUUGAAGGCAGGGAGGGUCCUUGCCUGCCAUUUCUUCUAAGUCUUCAUCUCUCUGCUUCCCAGACCACAGUGCCAGGCACCGUGCUGGACACACACAGGGCUAGAAGAAGAGAAAGUUAACCUUCCUUCUCACUGCUCUCUGCCUGUGCCCGACGGCCUGAUGAAGAGCGGGAAGCAAAGCUCAUGUACCUCCUUCCACAGUCUAUCGUCCCAUGACCACAGACCAAGUAUAACCCAGAUCAUCUGAAGUCAGCUGUCAUCACCACACAUCACACUCUCUUCUUCUCUUGCCUAAACAACCCCCUUACCUUGAAUUCCAUUUCUAUUAACUGAACUAAAAGCAAGCUUACACCUACCAUGCUUUUAAAACUCAGUCCAUGAGUUCACUGAACAAAUAUUCACUGCCUACCAGUGAUGGACCAGUUAUUAUGCCAGGUAUUAGGGUUGCAAAGGAUAUACCUAGUACCUACCCUUGCACAGUAGGGAAAGCAAACAAGUCAACAAGAACCCUACCAGAACAAAGAUGACAAGGGUGAUAUACAGGUUAGAGUUCAGUUGAGCAAUUUAAGCAGUGAAAGAUUUUGCACAGGAUAUUAAAUGGCUUAGAGGCUCAGUGCCCAUAGGUCAGUGGUUAGGGUGCCAGCCACAUGCACCAGGGCUGGUAGGUUCAAACCCAGCCAGGGCCUGCUAAACAACUACAACAAUAACAACAACAACAACAACAAAAAUAGCCGGGCGUUAUGGCAGGUGCCUGUAGUCCUAGCUACUUGGGAGGCCGAGGUAAGAGAAUCACCUAGCCCAAGAGUUUGAAGUUGCUGUGAGCUGUGAUGCCACAGCACUCUACCUAGGGCGACAGCUUGAGACUCUGUCUCAAAAAAAAAAAAGAAAAAGAAAAAGAAGCUGUGUCUCCAGAACUGUGCCCUUCCCAUGAUCCACAAUUGAGGCAAGACAGACUUCUCAGUGCUCAUCCUGAGGAAGAUGAUGCCUCGCCUCUUCCUAUAGGACUGUUACACGUUUAAGUUCAAAUGCAUCUAAGUGAGAGAAUCUAAAUCAUGUGGAGAAUUUUAGUACAAGGGUAUCCAGAAUGUAGUUUUUGAUUCUCUACUUUUAGUAAGUUGGACCAUAAUUUAUUACCGGAAGGAGGCACUAUAGGACAGACACCGUGG